AUUGAACGCUGGCGGCAUGCCUUACACAUGCAAGUCGAACGGUAACGGGCCUUCGGGUGCCGACGAGUGGCGAACGGGUGAGUAAUACAUCGGAACGUGCCCGAUCGUGGGGGAUAACGAGGCGAAAGCUUUGCUAAUACCGCAUACGAUCUACGGAUGAAAGCAGGGGACCGCAAGGCCUUGCGCGGACGGAGCGGCCGAUGGCAGAUUAGGUAGUUGGUGGGAUAAAAGCUUACCAAGCCGACGAUCUGUAGCUGGUCUGAGAGGAUGAUCAGCCACACUGGGACUGAGACACGGCCCAGACUCCUACGGGAGGCAGCAGUGGGGAAUUUUGGACAAUGGGCGCAAGCCUGAUCCAGCCAUGCCGCGUGCAGGAUGAAGGCCUUCGGGUUGUAAACUGCUUUUGUACGGAACGAAAAGCCUUCUUUUAAUACAGGAGGGUCAUGACGGUACCGUAAGAAUAAGCACCGGCUAACCACGUG
rnacentral:rRNA from 1 species